rnacentral:lncRNA from 13 species
AGUAAUAAUUUAACAAAGCUUUAAUUCUUUUGUUUCAUUUCUGCUCCAUCUGAGGUGUUAAAAUCUUCAUCACCAUUAUCAAUACUGUCGUCUUCAUCAUCUGUAUCUUCAUCUCCAUCCCUAUCUUCAACCCCAUCUUUAUCGUCAAGUAUUAAUGAAAAUUCGUCAUUAAUGCAAUCAUGCGUAAAAUCUACGCCAGAAAAUCAAGAAAUUUCGUCACCAGUACAACCAUGCAUAAAAUCUACGCCAGAAAAUAAAGCAAUUUUGUCAUCAAUGCAACCAUGCAUAAAAUUUAUGCCAGGAAAUAAAAAAACAAAGCAAAAUGUACACUUAUUCAAGAAGCGGACGAAGUUGACAAAUCGUUUAUGAAUUUAUCAUCUGUUAUGUCUCAACAUUUCUCAGGUAAACAAAAAAUGGAUGAAGAUGAUAUUUUUGAUAGCACAAUUGCAUUUUAAUUACGUAAAAUAGAAGAACCACGGAAGACACAAUUAAAAGGAAAGAUUAUGAAGAUUUUAUAUGAGUUUUAAAGAUAAUUUUUUAUUACAUCUUAUAACAAUUAUGUUAAAAUCACAUUAGGUUUGCUCUCUGUAACUGAAGAGGCUGCACUAGUUGAGUUUAUCUUUUUCUUUCCAAUGUGGAGUAAAAAAGAUAAACUCUGAACUAGUGUAGCCAGUUCAGCUACAAAGAACAAACCUAUUGAUUCAUGUCGAGACGGUUCUUGUUGUACAACUGCAGUACGGUUUGCAUAAUUGCAUACAAAUAUACAGCAAUCUUAGAGCAAUUGAAUAUUUUAAGUGCAAGUGAACAUUUUAAGUCAAAAUGUUAAGUUUCAUUGCAUGGACAAAA